UUGCUGUUGGCUUCAUUUGAUAAGGUCUGCAGACUAAGAGGAGCCAUGCCCAGACAUGAUAAAAAGAUUAUGGAGCACCACUCACAGAUCCUGGACUCAACAAUGGAUGCAGUCACUGGAUGGAACUUUUGGCCAUUAAUUGAGUGCCUACCAUAUAGACACUGGGACCACAAUGAAGAAGAUAACCACUGAUCCUGUGGAACUUUUAGCUAAUGGAAAUCAAUUCCUGAGUAUCCAUGUAAUAUUGGAUGCUCAGCAUUAUUUAUCGGGACUCAUUAAUUGAUAUUUCAUAGGAAUUUAAGAAUGUUUUCUCAAGGAAAAGCUCAUUAUUCUGAUUGAAUUCAAGAAAAUAUUUCUUACUGAGUUUAGUGAUAUAAAACCACAUGAAACUAACAGUAUCUGAUUAAGACCAAUAGCCAAGUUCAUUUUUAAUGUCUUUAUCCUACAAAUCAACAAAACUUGUCAGUGAAAAGAGGAAUAUUGAUCAAUCACUUGAAUGUUUCAUUAAAUCCAAAUCUUUUGUAUAACAGUGAAAAAGUAUUUAAUGUUUGGAUGGUUUAAUUUAUCUUCAUCUGUAUGGGCUUUUUCUGUUAUUUGGGCCACUAAUGUGUUUUAGUUUAGUUUUUUGGUUUUGGGUGUUUUCUGUCUUUUUUUUUUUUUUUUUUUUUUUUGGUAAAGUCAUUGUGUUCUCUCUUGGUCUUCUGCUUUCAACUAUCAGGUUGCCAAUUCAAUUACUCACAAAUCUCUCUGAAAAAUAUUUUGAAA
rnacentral:lncRNA from 1 species